GACGUUUGUGUAAGCCUAUGAGAAAAGUAUACAGAGAAGUAGGACUUGAAACUAUAUAUGGGGAGGAGGAGGAAUGUGUAUGCUUUUCUUGUAGGAGAGGCAAAUUUAAGGGUCCAAAGUGGAUUUUGUAAUACAAAGUGGAAUACAUGUGGUGACAAAUCAGUACGAAAAGCCAAAGGCAACUCAGCUUUACCCCCUAAUACUAUUUUCAAUCUCAAACUUCUCAUACAAAUUAUAAAUAAAGAUGUAAUAUGGGUACUGCUUACUGAGUGGGUGUCUCUCUUUUUAUGCAAAGUGUAUCAUUUAUUUUAUAUAUUUAAAAG
rnacentral:lncRNA from 1 species